GAUGGUAUAUUUUAAGUAAAAAUAUUACUCUGCAAAGGUGAAAUUACUCUCGUUGAGUUACCAUUU
rnacentral:tRNA from 1 species